rnacentral:rRNA from 1 species
AUUGAACGCUGGCGGCAUGCCUUACACAUGCCCAAGUCGAACGGCAGCACGGGAGCAAUCCUGGUGGCGAGUGGCGAACGGGUGAGUAAUAUAUCGGAACGUGCCCAGUCGUGGGGGAUAACGUAGCGAAAGCUACGCUAAUACCGCAUACGAUCUAUGGAUGAAAGCGGGGGAUCGCAAGACCUCGUGCGAUUGGAGCGGCCGAUAUCAGAUUAGGUAGUUGGUGAGGUAAAGGCUCACCAAGCCGACGAUCUGUAGCUGGUCUGAGAGGACGACCAGCCACACUGGGACUGAGACACGGCCCAGACUCCUACGGGAGGCAGCAGUGGGGAAUUUUGGACAAUGGGCGCAAGCCUGAUCCA